UUUCAAAUUCUUCCAUCAGAUAUAUAACAACUCAAAUUCAGACCCACAAGUAAAUGAUAAGGUAGACUUCAUUUCAUUACCACGGAAUUUGUUAAAACAUCUGAAAACCGAAGAUCAGUCUGCUGUUUCAAGGAUUUCGUUUUUCGCCAUGCAGGAAGAUAAGCUGUAUAGGGUAAAAAAAUCCUCCAGUACCAAAGCAAAUACUAAAAUUAACAGUAAUAUUAUUGCUGCAAAUAUUCCUAACAUUAAAAUAACCAACCUCGAUGAACCAGUUAAUAUAUCAUUCAAUUUAAUAAAUCCGAAUACCACCAACCCACAGUGUGUUUAUUGGGAUGAAUCUCCUGGACAGAAUCCCCAUUGGUCAACAAAAGGCUGUAGUGUAUCUAAGUAUGUACCUGGAGAGAAAGCACUUUGUUCCUGUAACCAUCUUACAAGUUUUGCCCUAUUAAUGAAAUCUAAGGAAAUUACUGGCAUCAAAGGUUUUAGUAAACUUGUGCGUUUCUUUGGCUAUCGCUAAUUUGAUCUUUCUUGUGGGGAUGCAGCCAUAUGCCUCAGAAAUAUCAGCUGCUUGUAAGGCAGUGGCUGCUCUAUUACACUACUUCCUUCUGACAUCUCUCAUGUGGAUGGCUGUUAUUGUAUUUAAAACAUAUCAGUCACAUUUUAUCUUGAAGAGUUCAAUUUUGGCCUGGGGUCUUCCAGCUGUCGUUGUCAUAAUUACUCUGGCAAUUAACUACACAAACAAUUACAUCAGAAUUGAACGUGCACAAGUGUAAGUAUUUGUAUGCUUU
rnacentral:lncRNA from 1 species